rnacentral:lncRNA from 1 species
AUAAGUCCUAACAACUCUAAUAGAUUUUUAAACAAAUUAUAAUUAAAGAUUAGGAAGUAUAAUCAAAUUUCAAUCAAAUUCAAUCAAAAUUGCAUAGAAAUUAUGGAAGAAACACAAAGUGUUCUUAAAGAUCUUUUAAAGAUUUUAUUAAGAAAUAACAUAGGAAUUCAAAAAUAUACUAAAAUAUAAAUCUUAAUAAAAUAUUAAAAUAGAAAUUUUAAUUAAAUCAUAGUCAAAUUCUAAUUAAUCUCUAAAUAAAUCCUAAUCAAAUCCUGAUCAAAUCAUAACCAAUCCCUAAAUAAAUCCUAGUUAAAUCUUGAUCAAAUCCUAAUCAAAUCUUAAUCAAAUCUUAAUCACAUCCUAACCAAAUCCUAACCAAAUCUUAGUCAAACUCUAAUCAAAGCCUAAUCAAUUCUAAAUAAAUUCUAGUCAAAUCUUAAAUAAACCCUAACUAAAUCCUACUUAAAUCCUAAAAAAUCCUAAUCAAAUUCUGAUCAAAUCCUAUAUAAAACCUAAUAAAAUCCUAAAUAAAAUCUAAUCAAAUCCUAAUCAAAUCUUAAAUAAAUCUUAGUCAAAUCUUAAAUAAAUCUUAAUCUAAUCCUAAUCAAAUCCUAAACAAAUUUUAACCAAAUCCUAAUCAAAUCUUAAAUAAAAUCUAACUAAAUCCUAGUCGAAUCCUAAUUGAAUCCUAACCAAAUCUUAAUUAAAUCUUAACAAACCUUAACUAAACUCUAAUCAAAUCCUAAACAUAUCCUAACCAAAUCUUAAAUAAUCCCAAGUAAUUCCUAUAGCAUAUUUAAACCUCAAUAAUUAAUGAAGGAAUUAUUGAUUUUAACUCAAAUUUUGCACACUUCUUUAUAAUUAAGUUGAAAAUAAAUACAAAUUUUUUGAAGAAGAUUAAACUCACCAAAAAGAAAAUCAACUCUAAUAUUUGCAUGGAUGUUGGUUGGCCACCUUUUUCAAUCUAAAUGUUGAAUUUUUAGUACUAAUAUCUCCUUAUUAAACCAUUCAAUUGAUCUCAAAUUUUUUACAUAUAUAGAAAAAUUAAUCUACUAUCUACAUACAUAAUUUUCACUCCAGUCCAAUUAAUAAAUUGCAAGAAAUCUAAGAAACCUUUACUAGACCUAAAACUCUACUUUCUAAGAUUCCAACCCACUUAAACCUCAAUAAUCCUCGAUCCAAUCUUUCAAUCUAGUUCAAACUCAUUGCAUAUAUUUAAUACAUAUAAACCCACAAACUUCUAAAAUUCUACCUAUGGAUCUAUUGCCAAACUUACAAAAUUUUCUAAAAAGUAUCACCC